rnacentral:rRNA from 1 species
GAUUAAGUUAUUAAGGGCGCACGGUGGAUGCCUUGGCACUAGAAGCCGAUGAAGGACGUUACUAACGACGAUAUGCUUUGGGGAGCUGUAAGUAAGCUUUGAUCCAGAGAUUUCCGAAUGGGGAAACCCAGCAUGAGUUAUGUCAUGUUAUCGAUAUGUGAAUACAUAGCAUAUCAGAAGGCA